UACAGAGGUCCCAAGCGUUGUUCGGAUUCAUUGGGCGUAAAGGGUGCGUAGGCGGCUUACUAAGUCAGGGGUGAAAUCCUGGAGCUCAACUCCAGAACUGCCUUUGAUACUGGUGAGCUUGAGUCCGGAAGAGGUGAGUGGAACUGCGAGUGUAGAGGUGAAAUUCGUAGAUAUUCGCAAGAACACCAGUGGCGAAGGCGGCUCACUGGUCCGGUACUGACGCUGAGGUGCGAAAGCGUGGGGAGCAAACAGG
rnacentral:rRNA from 1 species